CAGAGACACUCGAACCUGACUGAUCGCAGCAUGGCGGCCAACAUGCACCAGCCACCGAAGCCAUACCUGAGAAGACGACACAUUCACUACCUCCAGCUGUUCCACUUUACGUGGUCCUGAGACAGAAAAGGAGAAGAAGAGCCUGCGCAGCUGUAGUUCCCCCUCCUAUCACUCCAACAGACACCUCGGUUCCCGCACGGCUGCAGUACACAUGGGUUCUCCACUAGACGGCAACAGAGGAUCAAUCGAGACCUUGCAUUUGAAUUACCCUAUCUGACAAAGGUACAGAACUAAGGUGGUUCCUCCUGUAGCCUCGGCAUACACCUCCAUUCAAGCAGGGAUUUGGCUCACAUCCAUCCUGUUCUGCAGAACAAACACACAUCUGUAUCAUAAGAUGGGAAAUCCUUCAUUCUGAGAGGUGGGCUGUUUGUAGGAGAUAGGUAUGAAGUGUUUUGUGUCUCAAAACAGAUUUACUGUAAGUCAGAAUCAAGGGGAAAGCAAAUUAUGCCGAAUGACAAAAACAGGAAACAAACUGGAAAAUGAGUUGGGAAUCAAAGCUCAACAAAAGCAGGUUUGUUUUUCUUUCUAUAGUUACCAUAUUGUAGCACAUCUUUAUGUAAGUUCUGGAGUUAGCAAGUAUGAUUUGUUAUGUUCAAAAAGGCCCUGUCUGCUUUCUUGUAGAUGCUUCAUAAAUCCUUGCCAAAUUAAAGUCUAUAAAAAGUA